AAGGAGCUAAAUCUCUCCCAACUCCAAGUUAGAUCGCCUCUACUCUCGAUCUUCAAGAGGUAAGGGUCGAUCUCUAACUUACAUUAUGUUUUAAACAAGUUUUAUGGAAGUUCAUGGGGUAGAAAAUGCAUGAGUAAGCUUAUGUUGAGUUUAUGGGUUUUUGAUGAGUUUUUGAGCAAUGUGGCUUGUAAAUGUAUGUUUGAUGUGUUGUAGUUGGGGUUUAAGAUAGUUUGAGACCCCUAGGAGCUUGUAUGCAUAUUUUGGUUGAGCUAAAUGCAUGAUGGUAUGAGUUUGGAG
rnacentral:lncRNA from 1 species